GAUGAACGCUGGCGGCGUGCCUAACACAUGCAAGUCGAACGAAGCACUUUUUUACGAUCCCUUCGGGGUGACGGAUUUGUGACUGAGUGGCGGACGGGUGAGUAACGCGUGGGAAACCUGCCUUGUACCGGGGGAUAGCAGUUGGAAACGACUGAUAAUACCGCAUAAGCGCACAGUAUCACAUGAUACAGUGUGAAAAACUCCGGUGGUACAAGAUGGUCCCGCGUCUGAUUAGCUUGUUGGCGGGGUAAUGGCCCACCAAGGCGACGAUCAGUAGCCGACCUGAGAGGGUGACCGGCCACAUUGGGACUGAGACACGGCCCAAACUCCUACGGGAGGCAGCAGUGGGGAAUAUUGCACAAUGGGGGGAAACCCUGAUGCAGCAACGCCGCGUGAGUGAUGACGGUCUUCGGAUUGUAAAGCUCUGUCUUUAGGGACGAUAAUGACGGUACCUAAGGAGGAAGCCACGGCUAACUACGUG
rnacentral:rRNA from 1 species